rnacentral:rRNA from 1 species
CCCUUAGAUGUUCUGGGCCGCACGCGCGCUACACUGAUGCAUUCAACGAGUCUAAAACCUGCUCUGAUAGGGGUGGGUAAUCUUUUGAAUGUGCAUCGUGAUUGGGAUAGAUGAUUGCAAUUUUUCAUCUUCAACGAGGAAUGCCUAGUAAACGCAAGUCAUCAGCUUGCAUUGAUUACGUCCCUGCCCUUUGUACACACCGCCCGUCGCUCCUACCGAUUGAAUGAUCCGAUGAGUAUCAUGGAUUGAGGAUGCAAGCAGGUUCGCCUGUCUUCAUCUUCGAGAAGUGAAGUAAAUCUUAUCAUUUAGAGGAAGGAGAAGUCGUAACA